CCUACGGGAGGCAGCAGUGAGGAAUAUUGGUCAAUGGACGAGAGUCUGAACCAGCCAAGUAGCGUGAAGGAUGACUGCCCUAUGGGUUGUAAACUUCUUUUAUAUGGGAAUAAAAUGUUCCACGUGUGGGAUUUUGUAUGUACCAUAUGAAUAAGGAACGGCUAACUCCGUGCCAGCAGCCGCGGUAAUACGGAGGAGCCGAGCGUUAUCCGGAUUUAUUGGGUUUAAAGGGAGCGUAGGGGGAUGGUUAAGUCAGUUGUGAAAGUUUGCGGCUUAACCGUAAAAUUGCAGUUGAAACUGGGAGUCUUGAGUACAGUAGAGGUGAGCGGAAUUCGUGGUGUAGCGGUGAAAUGCUUAGAUAUCACGAAGAACUCCGAUUGCGAAGGCAGCUCACUGGACUGCAACUGACACUGAGGCUCGAAAGUGUGGGUAUCAAACAGGAUUAGAUACCCUUGUAGUC
rnacentral:rRNA from 1 species